rnacentral:rRNA from 1 species
CCUACGGGAGGCAGCAGUGAGGAAUAUUGGUCAAUGGGCUUACGCCUGAACCAGCCAAGUCGCGUGAGGGAAGACUGCCCUAUGGGUUGUAAACCUCUUUUGUCAGGGAGCAACGCCGGCUACGUGUAGCCGGACUGAGAGUACCUGAAGAAAAAGCAUCGGCUAACCCCGUGCCAGCAGCCGCGGUAAUACGGAGGAUGCGAGUGUUAUGCGGUUUUAUUGGGUUUAAGGGGUGCGUAGGCGGAAUGCCAAGUCAGCGGUAAAAUCGCGGGGCACAAGCGCGCUGCGCCGUUGAUACUGGCGUUCUUGAGUGGGCAAGAAGUAUGAGGAAUGCGUGGUGUAGCGGUGAAAUGCAUAGAUAUCACGCAGAACUCCGAUUGCGAAGGCAGCAUACCGGCGCCCAACUGACGCUGAAGCACGAAAGCGUGGGUAUCGAACAGGAUUAGAUACCCUUGUAGUC